CAAAAAUAAAACCAGUUGAUGGCUGCAGAGAAGCAGAAGAAAGUUAUACAUAUUGGCAUCUCUCAUACAAAUCCCCCUUGUAUUUUCCUGCCAGCAAAAAAUCUUUAGCAGCUGAGCUGAUUAAUUUCCAACUCAGCUACAACCCAGCAGGAACCACUCCAGCAACAAUGCUGAACUUGGAGUUGUCCCAACUUCUGGUCCUUCCUCUCGCCACAUCAUCAGUUCACCAGGCUGUUUCAACUGAAGCAGAAACGGGCCUGGAAAGAAACCAAAGGCUGGGUUCUUAACAAUCGGCUAGACUGCCAAAAGAUGGUCCUCCCGUUUUACAACCGCCAUAUGUCGAGCACACCAGCUCACUUUGCCCAGAGCUUCACGCCACGAUCGUGGGUAGCAGCAUUGCAAGACGUUGAACCGAGGCGAGUCGGCGAACCGUCCGCAGAAAAACAACAAAACGUGGCUUUUAGCUGCAAGAGGCAAGAACACGUCGAAGCCCUCGGGGUUGUUUUAAUUAAUUUAAAUAGUCGUUUUUGUCAGCGGUCCAGAUCUAAACGCCGCGCGGGUGGGAGGACGUUGCGAAGUACAGAACAUUACAGGCAUCCCUUGUGACUCCCGGUUGCUUUUUCGACAAUAGAAUUGUUUCGCGGGGGAGGGGCAGCGGUAGUGGUGGGAGAAGAAUGGAGACGGCGCCGCGCAGGCGCAGUGCGGGCGGCGGCGUUUGAACGCGAGUUACCUCUCUUUGUCAAGCGAGCCGAGGCAAAAGUAGGUGAAAGUUAACCCGGUGUCGUUGCUCUCCCCGGCUGCGCCGGCAACUGACGCAUGCGCGGAGAGGUUCCCUGAGAAAGGACGGAGGCUCUUCCUUUUUUUUUUAUUUUUGCAGGAAAGGCUUUCGCCUGAGGCGCUGAAACGGUGACACAGGACGCGCCAAGCAAAAAAGUCCCAGGUUUCGCUUGGGACAGAGAAGGUCAUCUGACCCGCGACGUGGCGAGGAGCGGAGCACGGGGACACACGCAGCCACGGGUAACCACGAAUCCACGAUGAUCUGUGGUUACCCAAGAUGAAAGG